GAGAACCAGCCCUGCCUGGGCUGGCGGCAGGGCUGAGGAAGCCUGGGUGUGGACUCAGAGUGGGAGGGGCCUGGCUGGGCUGAGCCCUGUCUGUGUCCCCCAGCGUGAGCUGCCGCCUCCAGCACCACCAGCUGGCAUCACCCGCUCCAAGUCCAAGCACGAGCUGAAACUGCUGGAGAAGAUCCCUGAGAAUGCCGAGGCCACGGUGGUCCUCGUGGGCUGCGUGGAGUUCCUCUCCCGCCCCACCAUGGCCUUUGUGCGGCUCCGGGAGGCUGUGGAGUUGGACGCAGUGUUGGAGGUGCCGGUGCCUGUGCGUUUCCUCUUCCUGCUGCUGGGCCCGAGUAGCGCCAACAUGGACUACCACGAGAUCGGCCGCUCCAUCUCCACCCUCAUGUCAGACAAGCAAUUCCACGAGGCAGCCUACCUGGCUGACGAGCGGGAGGACCUGCUGACGGCCAUCAACG
rnacentral:sRNA from 1 species